ensembl:lncRNA
AGACUGGAGUAUCCAUGCUCACUGCUUAGCUGUCUUAAACUGGAGGCCAACCUUCAGCCUCAACUUGGCCCAAGAUGCUCACUGGGUCCUCAUGAUGAGACCCAGAGCAGACCACCCUGCCUCCCUAGCCAGUGCUGCCUGGGUGCAGCUCAUGCAGGAUGAGUGGGUUAAGACCUUUAUUUGGGGACCACUACUGUCCGGGACUUCAGAGGAAUUCAGUAUUAUUCUCUCUUCUGAAGAUGAAGAGACACAAUCUUAAUUGGACUCAGUCUCCAAGCUCUGUCUGGAAGCUCAGGGCAUCCAGCAUAGGAUGACGGAGGCCAUUGACACAGAGCAAAAAUCUGCCAGAGAGAUGCUGUACUUCAUCUGACGAUUCUCCAGUUGUAGGCAAACAAGCCCUUCUCACCAGGCCUUGGACAGCGGCUCGUGCCAAUUCUGGCCUCAAAUGCCAGCCAGCUUUGGAAAUUAGACUGGUCUUCUGCAAGCCCUGGCGGGGAGUACGAGCGCUGGUUUGUGAGGUGUGGAAAGCCAAUCUGCUUAUGGCACAAGACUUCCGGAUAACCGCAGCCAAGUGCAGAGAGGGAAAAACAGCCUCCAAGGUAACCAGGGUGUAGCCAAGAAAGAACAAGGCUGCCACCCAACCUUGACUCUGCCUCCCCCGGGCUGGCCAGGCCCCUGAGGGGACAUAAGGAGACGUGGUCCGGGCACAGGACCUGUGAGAUUGGAGACUGAAACUGGCCUUUUGAGAGAACAGGACCAAAGCCAGAAACUCCCAGAGACACUCGAGAUGGCUCGUUUUCCCAGAGGGAGGCCCAUGUCACCUCCUGAGCCACCGCGAGCUGCUGUUAUUGUCACAUUUCAGAAAUGCAUGGAAAGGACACAGGUUCAAUCCCUGGUCCAGGAAGAUUCCACAUGCCGUGGAGUAACUAAGCCCGCAGGCCACCACUGCCGAGCCCGUGCUCUGCAACAAGAGACGCCACCAAAAUGAGAAGACUGCGCACCAGAAUGGAGGCACAGCACAGCCAAAACUCAAUCAAUAAACAAAUCUUUAAAAAAAAGAAGGGAUAAAGUUCAGCUUUUAAUUGGGUUAAGAUCUCAAAGUCUGGGUCCGUCUAUUUGGUUUAAGUAUGCAUUUAUCACCCAAUGUAUUUAAGGGUCUUUGUUCUGGACUUGCCACCAGGUACAGUGUAAAGCAGUGUUCCCUCAAAUAAAUAUAAUGCCCCAACUGGUAUUUAAAAUGUGGUGCAGCCCCAUUAAGAGGUAAAGGGAUG